GACGAACGCUGGCGGCGCGCCUAACACAUGCAAGUCGAACGAGCGAGAGAGAGCUUGCUUUCUCGAGCGAGUGGCGAACGGGUGAGUAACGCGUGAGGAACCUGCCUCAAAGAGGGGGACAACAGUUGGAAGCGACUGCUAAUACCGCAUAAGCCCACGACCCGGCAUCGGGUAGAGGGAAAAGGAGCAAUCCGCUUUGAGAUGGCCUCGCGUCCGAUUAGCUAGUUGGUGAGGUAACGGCCCACCAAGGCGACGAUCGGUAGCCGGACUGAGGGGUUGAACGGCGAGGUGGGGAGUGAGCCAGCGUCACGACGCGCAGGGGGGGCAGGAGGGGAGAAUAGUGCACGAGGGAGAAAGCCGUGAGGCGGCGAGGGCGGGAGGAGGAGGACGGUGUGGGAAUUGUAAUCUGCUGUUGUGGAGGAAGAUAAUGACAGAAAUAAAAAAGGAAGGGACGUAAAACUGCGUGACAGCGCCCAGGAUAAUAACCGGCAGACCACACGUACGAAC
rnacentral:rRNA from 1 species